UACGUAGGGGGCGAGCGUUGUUCGGAAUUACUGGGCGUAAAGCGCGCGUAGGCGGUGGUCUUUGUCAGAGGUGAAAGCCCGGGGCUCAACUCCGGAAUUGCCUUUGAAACGGGAUCGCUAGAGUCCGAGAGAGGAUGGCGGAAUUCCUAGUGUAGAGGUGAAAUUCGUAGAUAUUAGGAAGAACACCAGUGGCGAAGGCGGCUCACUGGUCCGGUACUGACGCUGAGGUGCGAAAGCGUGGGGAGCGAACAGG
rnacentral:rRNA from 1 species